GACGAACGCUGGCGGCGUGCUUAACACAUGCAAGUCGAACGGAAAGGCCCUGCUUUUGUGGGGUGCUCGAGUGGCGAACGGGUGAGUAACACGUGAGUAACCUGCCCUUGACUUUGGGAUAACUUCAGGAAACUGGGGCUAAUACCGGAUAGGAGCUCCUGCUGCAUGGUGGGGGUUGGAAAGUUUCGGCGGUUGGGGAUGGACUCGCGGCUUAUCAGCUUGUUGGUGGGGUAGUGGCUUACCAAGGCUUUGACGGGUAGCCGGCCUGAGAGGGUGACCGGCAACAUGGGGACUGGGAUACGGCCAAGACUCAUCCGGGGGGCAGCGGGGGGGAUUGUUGCAAAAGGGGCGGAAGCCUGAUGCAGCAACGCCGGGGGGGGGAUGACGGCCUUCGGGUGGAAAACCGCUUCCGCCGGGGACGAAGGGGGGGGGGCGGUAAUGGGUAAAGAAGCACCGGCCAACUACGU
rnacentral:rRNA from 1 species